rnacentral:tRNA from 1 species
GUCCCUGUAGCUUACAACUAAAGCAUGGCACUGAAGAUGCCAAGAUGGCCCACCCACUAAACCCUGGGACA